rnacentral:rRNA from 1 species
UACGGGGGGGGCAAGCGUUGUUCGAAAUUACUGGGCGUAAAGGGCUCGUAGGUGGCCAACUAAGUCAACCGUGAAAUCCCUCGGCUUAACCGGGGAACUGCGUUUGAUACUGGAUGGCUUGAGUUUGGGAGAGGGAUGCGGAAUUCCAGGUGUAGCGGUGAAAUGCGUAGAUAUCUGGAGGAACACCGGUGGCGAAGGCGGCAUCUUGGACCAACACUGACGCUGAGGAGCGAAAGCCAGGGGAGCAAACGGG